GACGAACGCUGGCGGCGUGCUUAACACAUGCAAGUCGAACGGAAAGGCCCUGCUUUUGUGGGGUGCUCGAGUGGCGAACGGGUGAGUAACACGUGAGUAACCUGCCCUUGACUUUGGGAUAACUUCAGGAAACUGGGGCUAAUACCGGAUAGGAGCUCCUGCUGCAUGGUGGGGGUUGGAAAGUUUCGGCGGUUGGGGAUGGACUCGCGGCUUAUCAGCUUGUUGGUGGGGUAGUGGCUGACCAAGGCUUUGACGGGUAGCCGGCCUGAGAGGGUGGCCGGCCACAUUGGGACUGAGAUACGGCGCAGACUCCUACGGGAGGCAGCAGUGGGGAAUAUUGCACAAUGGGCGGAAGCCUGAUGCAGCAACGCCGCGUGCGGGAUGACGGCCUUCGGGUUGUAAACCGCUUUCGCCUGUGACGAAGCGUGAGUGACGGUAAUGGGUAAAGAAGCACCGGCUAACUACGUG
rnacentral:rRNA from 1 species